AUUGAACGCUGGCGGCAGACCUAACACAUGCAAGUCGAACGAGUGGCGGACGGGUGAGUAAUGUCUGGGAAACUGCCCGAUGGAGGGGGAUAACUACUGGAAACGGUAGCUAAUACCGCAUACCAUCGGAUGUGCCCAGAUGGGCUUAGCUAGUGGGUGGGGUAACGGCUCACCUGGGCGACGAUCCCUAGCUGGUCUGAGAGGAUGCCAAGCAACAUGGGAAUUGAGCCACGCUCAAGACUCCUACGGGAGGAGGAAGUGGGGAAUCUUGAACAAUGGGCGCAAGCCUGAUGCAGCAAUGCCGCGUGUAUGAAGAAGGCCUUCGGGUUGUAAAGUACUUUCAGCGAGGAGGCGUUACUAGCAGAAGAAGCACCGGCUAACUCCGGGCCAGCAGCCGCGGUAAUAC
rnacentral:rRNA from 1 species